CGAGACUCCGGUGCUCCGUUGCUCUUCUGGCAGUCCGCGCUCCCCGGCAUCCCCGCUCACAACUUCCGUCUCCGCGCUGAUGACCCAGUCCGCUUCUCCAGCCAGCCUCGCCGUUCCUGGCCCCAGACCCCAGGGCGCGCGCUGCGUCCUCGCGGAAGCUCCGCGGCUCUCACAGUCCGCGUGAUGUUCUGGUUUCUCGUUGGAGCCCAUCAGCCUUUCACCUUUUACAACUCAACAUGUCCCAAGCCUCGUUCUAGACAUGUAGUUGGAAAAGAGAGAAACUCACAGAGCCCUAGAAAUGGUCUUAGAGCCCCCAGGUGUUCUAGGCCACCUUCUAAGAACCACUGCGGCUGCCAUAGGCCGGUGUGACCCAGUCCUGGAGAACUGUGACUUGUGACUGUGGCCUGUGACUUUUCCCCGUCUGGAGUACAAGGCUACCGGGGAGGGCUGGAGACCUGGACCUCCCACGCUGCCAGGAAGGAGACUGCGGAGAUGGGGGACUGAGAGGAAGAAUGAAGAUACCACUGGAUAGCCAGCUAGCCGCGGGCCCGGUGUGCUGGGCGGUCGAAGCGAUCAGCGAGCGUGCCGGGCGUGGAGGCCGACGCGCCGCGCAGAGGAUGGAUCGCGCGGCCCUCGCGGCACCGUCAGCUUCCGCCAGUGUGGACACCACGCGCCAAAGCACGUCCCGCCACCACGCACCCCAAGAGCCUCACUUUAACCCUCGGGCUCAGCUGCCCCAACGAGGGGCUUGCCACGGGAUCCCCCAAAUAAAUUCUUUGUACAACA
rnacentral:lncRNA from 1 species